CAGGGGAGACACUAUGAUCAGGCAGGUGGUUUUCCCAGGGCAAGGCUCAUCCCCUGCACUCCGGCUGUGCUUACCCCUGCGAUUUCCCCAAAUGCGGGAAACUCGACUG
ensembl:snRNA U1 U1 spliceosomal RNA